rnacentral:lncRNA from 1 species
AGGAGGCAGAGGCAGGCAGAUUUCUGAGUUCGAGGCCAGCCUGGUCUACAGAGUGAGUUCCAGGACAGCCAGGGCUAUACAGAGAAAACCUGUCUCGAAGAACCAAAAAACCAAAAAAAAAAAAAAAAAUGUAUUCUAUGAUGCACAGUGAAAUGUGACUUUCCCUGACGCCUGUCCUUCCCUCCCUGGUCCUAGGGGACAGGACACUCAGGUGGCCCUUUAGAUUUCUGCCUCUGGUAUGCAUCAUGUUUAAUCUCUUUCCCUUGAGUAUGGUUUGAAAGCACAUCUCACUCUGGAUUGUGGCAAGGGAGCUUUGCUGGUGUAGUGAAGGCCCUUGCUCAUGUGAUUUGGAGUUCAUUGAAAGAUUAUCUGGGUCUCAGCUAAUCAGGUGAGGUAAUGGGCCUCUUCCUGGAGUCAGAAAGAAUUUCCUGGUGGCCUUGAGGAAGUCAACUACCAGGCUGUGAGGGGACAUGUAGAGGAGCCACAGGACAAGGACAAGGCACGUGUAGGUGCUAAGAGUCGUCCCCACUGACAUCGAGUAAAGCAAGGAUCUAACCGUGGAAGGCAGCGCCAGAGAGACUGAAUCAGGAGGAUCAUGAAAUGGAAGGCAGCCGGCGUCUCAGGGUGAGAUCCUGUCUCAGUAACCAAAACAAGAGGAAAAAGCAAACAAAACAUCACAGAAGCUAGGAGUGUUGGCGCAUGCCUGUUCUCCUAGGAUUGGGAGCGAGAGGCAGAGAAUCAGACAUGAUUGCUGUUCAUCAAUAUCUUUGGUUAUAUAGUUUGAGACCCGCCUAGGCUAUAUUACACUCUGUCUUAGAAGG